UAGCGGCGGACGGGUGAGUAACACGUGGGUAACCUGCCUGUAAGACUGGGAUAACUCCGGGAAACCGGAGCUAAUACCGGAUAGUUCCUUGAACCGCAUGGUUCAAGGAUGAAAGACGGUUUCGGCUGUCACUUACAGAUGGACCCGCGGCGCAUUAGCUAGUUGGUGGGGUAAUGGCUCACCAAGGCGACGAUGCGUAGCCGACCUGAGAGGGUGAUCGGCCACACUGGGACUGAGACACGGCCCAGACUCCUACGGGAGGCAGCAGUAGGGAAUCUUCCGCAAUGGACGAAAGUCUGACGGAGCAACGCCGCGUGAGUGAUGAAGGUUUUUCGGAUCGUAAAGCUCUGUUGUUAGGGAAGAACAAGUGCGAGAGUAACUGCUCGCACCUGGCGGUACC
rnacentral:rRNA from 1 species